rnacentral:lncRNA from 1 species
ACAGAUCUGGCCCAACUCGACCUGCAAUCCCUGGUCGCGACUGCUCAGUCGCGACCAAGGAUGCCGGAACGGCGAAUGCCUGCGGCGGCGACGUCUCGGGCCGACGGGGGACACGGCUCGAGCUCUCCAGUCACGGCGGUAUCCCUCCGGCCACCAGCAGUCCUAGGGGGCCCUACGUGGAGCAAUCGAGGGGCGGAGUUUCACUCGGACAAUUCCACAAACAGGUUGCAUACACUAACAAAACUAAUAGACUUUGUCUCGGUCGCAGCCCGAGCAUCUAUCCAGACUUCGAAGGGGACAUGGCAGAACAGCAAGCGGGGUAACAAGGACAAGAAGGUGGCCGGAGCUCGCCCGAACUAACCGGGAUGAGUUCCGGCCGACUCAUUUCCAGAAAUGCACACCAGAAAUUUCGAUGAAAGGCCUACCUGGUUUCAGACGGGAAUGGCAGCUUGGAAGACGCGUCUGCGGCGGUGGCAGCGGCGAUGGCGGCUCGGAGAUGCGUCGGCGGUGGUUGCAGCGGUUGGGAGACGCGUUGAUGGCGGUGGCGACGGCGAUGGCGGCCCGGAGAUGCGUCGGCGGUGGUUGCGGCGGUUGGGAGACGCGUUGACGGUGGUGGCCUCGGCGAAUUCCCCCUCCUGUUUUUCUGUUUCUCUCGCGCUCCCCCCCGGUUCUCUC